AACCUAGCACACCUGCGGUGUGUACCUGCGGAAGGAUCAUUACCGAGUUUACAACUCCCAAACCCCUGUGAACAUACCUAUACGUUGCCUCGGCGGAUCAGCCCGCGCCCUGUAAAAAGGGACGGCCCGCCCGAGGACCCUAAACUCUGUUUUUAGUGGAACUUCUGAGUAAAACAAACAAAUAAAUCAAAACUUUCAACAAUGGAUCU
rnacentral:misc_RNA from 1 species